UCCCAAACCUUUUAAACUAUUAAUGAUAAUAGUAAACUUAGUGUACGUAUGUAACGACCUGACCCACUAGCAACAAUAACUCGUUGGGCCCAAACACCGGCCCAAAAUGCUUAAGCCCAGUUAUUAUUACUAUGUGUUUAAGUCUCUUAUAUACCCAAUCACAUCCCCAUUCCUAUCCGAUCUGGGAUUAAUAAGGGUGUGACAGACUUCCCCCGUUAAGGCCCUGACGUCCUCGUCAGUCCAAUCACACACACAACCCAAGAUCACUAGGCCAUGUGAGACUCGUCUCGCUAGUCUUGUCAUUCAGACCCUGGCAUAGCCGGCCACCUUGUCAUACAGACUCCGGCAUAAUAUAUCACCUUGUCUUUCAGACCCUGGCUCAGCCGAGACUCGCUACACAUUUUCGGCUGGUGAACUGGCUCUGAUACCAAAUGUAACGACUCAAUCCACUAGCAACAAUAACUCGUUGGGCCCAAACACCGGCCCAAAAUGCUUAAGCCCAGUUAUUAUUACUAGUGUCUAAGCCUCUUAUAUACCCAAUCACACAUUCCUAUCCGAUGUGGGAUUAAUGUGGUGUGACAACGUAUCAGUAAAACUUUUAUUUGGUUGCAU
rnacentral:lncRNA from 1 species